rnacentral:lncRNA from 10 species
CGGAGGUUGCAGGGAGCCGAGAUGGCGCCACUGCACUCCAGACUGGCGACAGAGUGAGACUCCGUCUCAAAAAAAAUAAAAAUAAAAAAUAAAAUAAAAUAAAAUAAAAUUUGCCUUAAAUGUAGAUACAGGAGAAAUACAGAAAUAAAUCGACUAUUUUGAAACUCAGCAGAAAAUACACCAUAAUGAAAUGCUGUGUAGUUUAUUCAGUCAGUCAUUUAUGCAGCAAAUAUUCAAGCAUCAUCUGUGUGCUAAGCACAGUUACAGGCUCUGAGGUAGAGUGAACAGACAGAUGCAAAUCUCUGUUCUCAUGUUGCUUAUAUUAUAGUAAAAGAAACAGAAAACUUAACAAUUAUGUAAUAUGUGAGAAGGCGAUGAAUACCAUAAAGAAAAAUAAUUCAUUGAGGGGAAUGUGUGUGUAUAUAUACACACGUAAGAGUUCAAUUUUAAAUUGAGUGGUCAGAGAAGGCCUCAUUUCUAGGGUGACUUUUGGGUAAAACUAUGACAAACAAAAUUGGAAAAAUAUAUUUAUUGACAUGGGAAGAUGUUUGUCUUUUUUUUUUAAUUGGGUAAAAAAAGAAAAUAGAUUAGAAAAUAAUAUAUACAGUAUGAUCCCAUUUUGCUAAAAUAUUUAUAUCUGUGUGCCUUGAUAUAUAUUUGCAUAUUGAAACUUUCAGGAAGUAUAUAUGCCAAAAUAUCAUUAGUGAUUGUCUCUGGAUAGUGGGCUUUAUGAGUGCUUUUAUUUUGUUCUUUUUGCUGUCAGUAUUUUCUGAUUCUUUGACAAUGAACAUAUAUUUCCAGAUAUUUCCAGUACAGUAUAUGAAAACAAGUUCUUUAGGUACAAAAUUUUUAAAAAGUUAACGAAGCAGGAUGGAAAUUAAGCAGCCCAACAGAGGGUCCUUCACAUUUAAAUGGCUACCCCACUUCCAUGCAAAGGCAAACUUAGGGAGCCAAGGUAAGCAGGACCAGACCACAUUAGAAGAUUAUUGAGGUCUGCUCCAAGACAGAGGUCAGUAAAGGAGAAAGACUCCAUGGUUCUACAUCAGCACUGUCCAAUAGAAAUAUAAUGCAAGCCACAUGUAGUUUUACAUUUUCUAGUAACCUCAUUUAAAAUGCAAAAAGAAAUUAUUAAACCAAUUUUAAUAUUUUAUUUAGCCCAGUAUAUAAAAAUAUUAUCAUUUCAACAUGGAAUUAAUAUUAAACAGUUAUUAAUGAAUUAUGUCACAUUCUGUUUUUCAUACUAAGUCUUCAAAAUUCAGUGUGUAUUCAACACUUAGCACAUCUCAAGUUGGACUACUCAUGUUUCAAGUGGUCAGUAGCCAUGUGUGACUAGUGGCUAUCAUAUUAAAGUGUAGCUCUAGAUCAUAGGUCAUUAUUAUAGUCUGUAAAAAUUUCAAAGUAGUUCCAGAUCAUAGAGCAUUAUUGUAGUCUGUAAAAAUUUCAAGAAAGGAGAUAAAAAUAGGGAUGAAACUACCAAGACGUCAAAUAUUUAUGUCGUUUGGGGAGAAAACUUUUCUGGGAAGAACUAUGAAUGCCCUCACCCAUUUUUACUACUUAAUUCUCCUUUUCUUAACUCCACUGAGCCAUUCCCUUCUUCUUCUUCUUUUUUUUUUUUUUUUUUGAGAUCGCCCAGGCUGGAGUGCAGUGGCGCGAUCUCGGCUCACUGCAACCUCUGCAUCCCGGGUUCAAUUGAUUCUCCUGCCUCAGCCUCCCGAGUAGCUGGGACUACAGGCGCAGGUCACCACGCCCAGCUAAUUUUUGUAUUUUUAGUUGAGACGGGGUUUCACCAUGUUGGCCAGGAUGGUCUUGAUCUCCUGACCUCGUGAUCCACCCACCUCGGUCUCCCAAAGUGCUGGAAUUACAGGCGUGAGCCACUGCGCCCGGCCGAUUCCCUUUUAUUAAUACAUUUUCCCGUCUUCUGGGGCACAGUAUCAUUGGAGUUUCACUUUUUCCAAAACUCCAUGGUCCUUUGUUUAUAGGUUAUUACUUAGAGAGAAUUAUAAUGGGUGAAUCUCACACCAUUACAUACCAAAUUUCAAAAAAUUCAUUCUCAGAGGAAAACUUAUCUCUUUGAUAUUCUCUAUGCAUCAACAACAGGCAGGAUAAUAAAUACGAGUAUUCAUUCAUUUAUUUUUUUACUUUUUUAAAAAAAUAAGAUUAUUCAUUACUGAAGAUGACUCAUUCAGUUAUCAUUUACUGAGCACAGAGUGAUAGGCAAAGGGAACACAAAUAUAAGAUGGUUCCCUGUCUUUUACAGUUUAUAGACUAAUAGGGAAGGAUCUUACAAGUCACCAUUCAAAAAGCUUUUUUUUUUUUUUGAGACAGUCUCACUCUGCUGCCCAGACUGGAGUGCAGUGGCACGAUCUCGGCUCACUGCAACCUCCGCCUCACGGGUUCAAGUCAUUCUCGUGCCUCAGCCUGCUGAGUAGCUGGGAUUACAGGCGCACGCCACCAUGCCCAGCUAAUUUUUGUAUUUUUAGUAGAGACGGGGUUUCGCCAUGUUGGCCAGGCUGGUCUCGAACUCCUGACCUCAGGUGAUUUACCCUCCUCGGCCUCCCAAAGUGCUGGGAUUACAGGCAUGAGUCAUCGCACCUGUCCCUCAAAUAGCCUUUUAAAUAUGUUUGCUUUUUUCUUUUUUUGAGACAGGGUCCUACUCUGUUGCUGAGGCUGGAGUAUUGUGGCAUGAUCAUAGCUCACUGCAGCCUGGAACCCCUGGGUUCAAGUGAUCCUUCUGUCUCAGCGUCUGGAUUAGCUGGGACUAUGCCACCACACUCAGCUAAUGUGUUUGUUUCUUUCAUAAGGUAAUUAUGCCUAGUAGAAGAAGUUUGAAAGUUGGAGUGAUUUUUUAAAAAUAAAUAUGUAAUGGGCUGGACAUGGUGUCUCAUGCCUGUAAUCCCAACACUUUGGGAGGCUGAGUUGGGCAGAUGGCUUGAGCCCCAGGAGUUUGAGACAAGCCUAAGCAACAUAGUGAGACCUUGUCUCCACAAAAAUAGAAAAAAUUAGCUGGGCAUAGUGGUGCACACCUGUAGUCCCAGCCACUUCGGAAGCUGAGGAGGGAGGAUUGCUUGAGCCAGGAGUUUGAGGGUGUGGUCGGCUGUGAUCAUGCCACUGUAUUCCAGCCUGGGCGACAACGACCCUGUCUCAAACAACAAAGGCAGCAAAAUAAACAAGUAAAUAAAUAAAUAAUGAUUGUGGAAAAUUUGUAGAACAUAGAAAAUUAUAAAGAAAAUGAAUCAUAAUGCUGUCACCCAGAGACAAUUACUAUUUUGGUAUACUUCUUUCUAGUAUUUGUUUGUCUGCUUUUAUGAUCAUGCAAUUUUGUAUACGCAAUUCUGCUUACCAUUAUAUUGCAAGCAUUUUUUCUUGAUGUUAAAAUGUUUCAAAGUCAUAAUGACUAUAUACAAUUACUUCUACUUGUGUACAGUAAUUUUAAUGCCCACUUGGUCCUUUAUCUGUAUUUUUUCACUUUGAUAAAAAUACUUAUUCUGGCUGGGCAUUGUGGCUCACGCCUGUAAUUCCAGCACUUUGGGAGGCUGAGGCGGGCUGAUCACCUGAGUUCAGGAGUUCGAGACCACCGUGGGCAAUAUGGUAAAACCCCAUCUCUACUAAAAUACAAAAAAUUAGCUGGGCUUGGUGGUGGUGCGCCUGUAGUACCAGAUACUUAGGAGGCUGAGGCA